rnacentral:rRNA from 1 species
UACGUAGGGUGCAAGCGUUAAUCGGAAUUACUGGGCGUAAAGCGCACGUAGGUGGUUUGCUAAGCUAGCUGUGAAAUCCCCGGGCUCAACCUGGGCACUGCAGUUAGAACUGGCAAGCUAGAGUAGGGUAGAGGGGUGUGGAAUUCCAGGUGUAGCGGUGAAAUGCGUAGAUAUCUGGAGGAACAUCAGUGGCGAAGGCGACACCCUGGACUCAUACUGACACUGAGGUGCGAAAGCGUGGGGAGCAAACAGG